UACGUAGGUGGCAAGCGUUGUCCGGAAUUAUUGGGCGUAAAGCGCGCGCAGGCGGUCCUUUAAGUCUGAUGUGAAAGCCCACGGCUCAACCGUGGAAGGUCAUUGGAAACUGGGGGACUUGAGUACAGAAGAGGAAAGCGGAAUUCCACGUGUAGCGGUGAAAUGCGUAGAGAUGUGGAGGAACACCAGUGGCGAAGGCGGCUCACUGGACCGGAACUGACGCUGAGGCGCGAAAGCGUGGGGAGCAAACGGG
rnacentral:rRNA from 1 species